rnacentral:rRNA from 1 species
GAUGAACGCUGGCGGCGUGCCUAAUACAUGCAAGUCGAGCGAACAGACGAGGAGCUUGCUCCUCUGACGUUAGCGGCGGACGGGUGAGUAACACGUGGAUAACCUACCUAUAAGACUGGGAUAACUUCGGGAAACCGGAGCUAAUACCGGAUAAUAUAUUGAACCGCAUGGUUCAAUAGUGAAAGACGGUUUUGCUGUCACUUAUAGAUGGAUCCGCGCCGCAUUAGCAAGUUGGUAAGGUAACGGCUUACCAAGGCGACGAUGCGUAGCCGACCUGAGAGGGUGAUCGGCCACACUGGAACUGAGACACGGUCCAGACUCCUACGGGAGGCAGCAGUAGGGAAUCUUCCGCAAAGGGCGAAAGCCUGACGGAGCAACGCCGCGUGAGUGAUGAAGGUCUUCGGAUCGUAAAACUCUGUUAUUAGGGAAGAACAAAUGUGUAAGUAACUAUGCACGUCUUGACGGUACCUAAUCAGAAAGCCACGGCUAACUACGUG